rnacentral:rRNA from 1 species
UCAGGAAUAUUGGGCAAUGGGCGAAAGCCUGACCCAGCAACGCCGCGUGAAGGAUGAAGGCCUUCGGGUCGUAAACUUCUGUCGAGAGGGAAGAAUGCGUACGGGUGAACAAUCCGUGCGUUUGACGGUACCUCCAAAGGAAGCACCGGCUAACUCCGUGCCAGCAGCCGCGGUAAUACGGAGGGUGCAAGCGUUGUUCGGAUUCAUUGGGCGUAAAGCGAGUGUAGGCGGUUUGACAAGUCGGAUGUGAAAUCCCGGGGCCAACCCCGGAACUGCAUCCGAUACUGUCUGGCUAGAGUCCCGGAGAGGGUGGCGGAAUUCCCGGUGUAGGGGUGAAAUCCGUAGAUAUCGGGAGGAACACCAGUGGCGAAGGCGGCCACCUGGACGGUGACUGACGCUGAGACUCGAAAGCGUGGGUAGCAAACAGGAUUAGAUACCCUGGUAGUCCACGCUGUAAACGGUGAGUGCUCGUCGUCGUGGGUAUUGACCCCUGCGGUGACC